rnacentral:tRNA from 1 species
GCGGAAGUGGCGGAAUUGGUAGACGCACCAGAUUUAGGUUCUGGCGCCGCAAGGUGAGAGUUCAAGUCUCUCCUUCCGCACCA